rnacentral:rRNA from 1 species
UUGCCUUAGUAACGGCGAGUGAAGCGGCAACAGCUCAAAUUUGAAAUCUGGCUUCGGCCCGAGUUGUAAUUUGCAGAGGAUGUUUAUGGUGCGGUACCUUCCGAGUUCCCUGGAACGGGACGCCACAGAGGGUGAGAGCCCCGUCUGGUUGGAUACCAAACCUGUGUUAAACUCCUUCAACGAGUCGAGUAGUUUGGGAAUGCUGCUCUAAAUGGGAGGUAAAUCUCUUCUAAAGCUAAAUACCGGCCAGAGACCGAUAGCGCACAAGUAGAGUGAUCGAAAGAUGAAAAGCACCUUGAAAAGGGGGUUAAACAGUACGUGAAAUUGUUGAAAGGGAAGCGUUUAUGACCAGACUUGUGCCNUGUGGCUCAUCCGAGGUUCUCCCCGGUGCACUCCACACGGUUCAGGCCAACAUCGGUUUUCGCUGGGGGAUAAGAACAGUAGGAACGUACCUCCCCUCGGGGAGUGUUAUAGCCUAUUGUACGAUACCCUGGCGGGGACCGAGGACCGCNCUUCNGCUAGGAUGNUGGCGNAAUGGUCAUUANCNACCC